CAGUAGCCGCGGGAAUACGUAGGUGGCAAGCGUUGUCCGGAAUUAUUGGGCGUAAAGGGCUCGCGGGCGGUUUCUUAAGUCUGAUGUGAAAGCCCCCGGCUCAACCGGGGAGGGUCAUUGGAAACUGGGAAACUUGAGUGCAGAAGAGGAGAGUGGAAUUCCACGUGUAGCGGUGAAAUGCGUAGAGAUGUGGAGGAACACCAGUGGCGAAGGCGACUCUCUGGUCUGUAACUGACGCUGAGGAGCGAAAGCGUGGGGAGCGAACAGGAUUAGAUACCCCUGUAGUCCCUGUCUCUUAUAC
rnacentral:rRNA from 1 species